GUCCUAGCUGUAAACGAUGGGCACUAGGCAGUGGAGAUCCGAUGUCCUCACUGUCGAAACAAAUGCGAUAAGUGCCCCGCCUGGGGAGUACGGCCGCAAGGCUGAAACUCAAAGGAAUUGACGGGGGCUCACACAAGCGGUGGAGCAUGUGGUUUAAUUCGAAGCAACGCGCAGAACCUUACCAGGGUUUGAAAUGCACGGAUUAGCCUCCCGAAACGGAGGUGACACCCUUGUGGUGGAACGUGCACAGGUGUUGCAUGGCUGUCGU
rnacentral:rRNA from 1 species